AUGAGAUUAAAAAGCUACAAAGUGAAUGCCUCAGAGAAAGCAUCUUUACACAGGGUAGCCCGCACAGGGGUCGUGUGGUCUGGAGGACCCUGGACCAAAGAGGACUUCCUGCUUCUGGUCCUGGCUUAUAAAACACACCGGAAAACCAUUCGCUCAACUUUUCUAAGAAAUUUCCUCGGGGGGUGGGGAGGGUGUGCAGGUGCAGGGACAUGCAGAAACUGUCACCGCAACUCCCUAAGUUACGAGUUACUGUCCACGAACUCCCCCGCCUUGGCGAGUACAGCGGCAGUGGAAGGACCUUCGGUGCCGGAGGAGGUCAAGGCCGGCGCUCAGGGCUCUGCCCGCCGGGCCCGAGGCCGUGUCCUCCCCAGCUCUCUUUCUUCCGUGAACUCCAUCUGUCUUCCUCCAUCUCGCGUCUGCCCCACUACACAGAGCCCCCAGUCCCGGGGCCCCGGCGCACACACACUCACACACACGCCCCACCGCCCCUCGUGCUGGCGGCUCCCCGGGCGCAGCCUGCGGGGACGCACGGGCACGACGCUGUCUCUCGCGUCCUUAAACUCUCUUCACACACGGCCGCGCGCACUCCCACGCGCAAGGUCACGCACACAGGGGCGCUGUCACGGGCUGUCACACACGGCCAGACUCGGUUCACACGCAGUGACACGCUCGCUCUGCCCACACACGGUCACGCACACCCUGCCCCCGGCUCCCACCGGCCCCGACGCCCUCAGCCGCCCACCCGCCCGCCGGCCGGCCUGCCCACGCGCCGCGCAGGACGCCUCACCUCUCCUCGCCCGGCGCCGAGCAGCCCGCGGCCGGGGCGGGGACUCGAUCUCGCCGCGAGCGGCGGUCUCACAAAGGGGCCGCGGCGCCCGGGCGGGCAGCCGGCGCCGGCCGCGGGGGCCGCCGGGAGCUGGAGUCCUGUACCGGUCCCGGGGCGGCGCGGAGCAUGCCGGGACUGCCGGCCCCAGGCGCGGGCAACUUCCGGCUUCGUCCCCUCGGGUCGUCUCUGCCGCGCUCCCGCAGGCCCGGCCUUCCGACCCAGAGCCGACCCGGCCCAGCCCUCAGGCCGGCGGACCCAUGGCCCGGCCGCCGAGUCCGCCUAGACCUGGAUGGCCGGCGUGA
rnacentral:lncRNA from 1 species